GCAGCCUGCAACUCGGCUGCAUGAAGCUGGAAUCGCUAGUAAUCGCGGAUCAGAAUGCCGCGGUGAAUACGUUCCCGGGUCUUGUACACACCGCCCGUCACACCAUGGGAGCCUGAUAUGCCCGAAGUCAGUGGCCCAACCGAGAGGGGGGAGCUGCCGAAGGUGGAGCAGGUGACUGGGGUGAAGUCGUAACAAGGUACC
rnacentral:rRNA from 1 species